AAAUCCGCUUUGAUAAUGCUGGGAUGUGAUGGGGAGCGAAAUUUAGUAGCGAAGUAGCUGAUUUCACACUGUCAAGAAAAGUCUCUAUCGAGGUUAAAGGUACCCGUACCGCAAACCGACACAGGUGGGGGAGGAGAGUAUCCUAAGGCCAGCGAGAGAACUGUUGUUAAGGAACUCGGCAAAAUGACCCCGUAACUUAGGGAUAAGGGGUGCCACCAUCAGGUGGCCGCAGAGAAUAGGCCCAAGCGACUGUUUACCAAAAACAUAGGUUUCUGCUAAGUCGCAAGACGAUGUAUAGGAGCUGACGCCUGCCCGGUGCUGGAA
rnacentral:rRNA from 1 species